CCGAGAAUUUUUCACAAUGGGCGAAAGCCUGAUGGAGCGACGCCGCGUGGGGGAUGAAUGGCUUCGGCCCGUAAACCCCUGUCAUUCGCGAGCAAACGUUAUUAUUUAAAAGAUGAUAGCCUGAUAGUAGCGAAAGAGGAAGGGACGGCUAACUCUGUGCCAGCAGCCGCGGUAAUACAGAGGUCCCAAGCGUUGUUCGGAUUUACUGGGCGUAAAGGGUGCGUAGGUGGUGGGGUAAGUCGGAUGUGAAAUCUCCGAGCUCAACUCGAAAAGUGCAUUGGAAACUACCCUGCUCGAGGGUUGGAGGGUGGACUGGAAUACUUGGUGUAGCAGUGAAAUGCGUAGAUAUCAAGUGGAACACCAGUGGCGAAGGCGAGUCCCUGGACAACUCCUGACACUGAGGCACGAAAGCUAGGGGAGCAAACAG
rnacentral:rRNA from 1 species